UUACCUGUGUGUGUGUGUUUGUGCGUGUGUGUGUGCGCGCGUGUGGGCACACGUGUGUGUCAAGUGUGUGUCAGAGCAUGUCAGUGUAUGUGCACAUAUGUGCAUGUGUCCAUGUGUGUGUCCCUGUUUAUGCAUGUGUCACUGUGUGUCUGUGUAUGUCUGUGUGCUAAUGUGUGUGUCUGCGUGUGUCCUUGUGUAUGCAUGUGUGUUGAGAAACACGUAGAGAUCUUGAGACUAAAUUCAUAGAGGCGUUUUGUUCAGAACUUCUCUCCAAGGCCAGGAAGACAGGCUAAAUGGCUCCAAAUCUCAACCUCCAACUGCUUGUCGGAUGUGGCCACCUGAAUCCCAACAGCGCCUUUGGUAUCUUUAAAGGUGAGCCAUCUCCAUCCCCACAGAACCCACCCCCCUUUUUCCUGUUUCUGUCAAAGCCACCGUCACUUUUCUGCUUUGAGAGCCUAAUCCUCCAAGCCACGUGGAAAGAAUGGAAACUUCCCAUCACAGUCCUGGAUCCCAGCUGCCCCAAAACCAGCUGUGAGUUUGCCUCUCUGAGCUUUAGUUUCCUUCGCUGGCAAAUCUGUAAACGUUCUGGGUCUGCCUGAGGUACGGCACAGAUAGGACGGUAGUGCAAGGAUGCCCAAACCCCUAGGAACAUUCUCUCCGUGUUUUAUGGUUUCCUUAUUGUAAAUCCACUUUCCCAAUGUAGAAUUUAAAACAAAACAUCCUUGGGGAUUACAAAUCAACAAGAGAUUUGGGAGGGGACACAUACCCAAACUAUAUCAGACUGUUUAAGAAAAUGGUCUAUGUUUUAGAGAUACAUUUGGAAAUAUUUAGGGGGGAUAUACCUGCAAUUCACUUUAAAAUAUUUCAGCUUAAAAUAUAUAGUCAAUUUACAGGUUAAGAUGCAAUUGUGAGAAACUGCAAGUUAGAAAUACUAUGAGUUUAAGCAAUUAUCUUAUGAAAGUAAUUACAACUGCCUGAGUUCAUGCUGCUAAUAGCUCCAUGUCACGUUAUCUAUGUUAUGUGUAACAGGUCAAAUUGUUCAUAACUUUGUCAUUCAAAGAGCUGUAGAGGUGUGAGCAAAAUCAGUGUAUUCAGUCAAAAUGGUGUUCAUGACAAGGGGAGCCCCUUGGAUGUCUGAGGCCAUGCAUGUGCAAUUAUUGGGGAGUCUGAGAGUUAUCUGAGGGGGGAGGGGGUUCAAAUGCCUGAGGAGUGACUGUGGGAUGAUAUGCAAACAGUACUUGGCAAUGACCAAGACCACAUACUUGCAAAGCUCACUCCCAUGAAGACCAACUCAAAGACCAAAACCAUACUCCAGGCUAUGCUAGAAAUUUAGAAGCCAGAACCAAGGGAAAGCUGGCAAGAUGAGCCCAGAGGAAGGACUCUGCAAAGAUGAGGAGCCCAGAGGGAGAUGUCUAGGACAGGCUCCACACAAAACCAUGCUGUAGGCAUGCUGUGGUCCUCCUUUCUCAUGGCUUGUGUGACAUCCGUCCAGUUAGUAUCAGAGUUAUAAAAACCGACUCUGCAGCUUCAGGGUGGUCACACUGCAGUAAAGCAGUGAGUGUGUGUGUAUGUGAGUGUGUGUGUAUGUGAGGGUGUGUGUAUGUGAGUGUGUGUGUAUGUGAGGGUGUGUGUAUGUGAGUGUGUGUAUGUGAGGGUGUGUGUAUGUGAGUGUGUGUGUAUGUGAGGGUGUGUGUAUGUGAGGGUGUGUGUAUGUGAGUGUGUGUGUAUGUGAGGGUGUGUGUAUGUGAGGGUGUGUGUAUGUGAGGGUGUGUAUGUGAGGGUGUGUGUAUGUGAGGGUGUGUGUAUGUGAGGGUGUGUGUAUGUGAGUGUGUGUGUAUGUGAGGGUGUGUGUAUGUGAGGGUGUGUGUAUGUGAGGGUGUGUGUAUGUGAGGGUGUGUGUAUGUGAGGGUGUGUGUAUGUGAGGGUGUGUGUAUGUGAGGGUGUGUGUAUGUGAGUGUGUGUGUAUGUGAGGGUGUGUGUUUGCCACAGGGUCUGGCCCACGGCACACUGGAGGGAGACCCUGAAGAGGAAGGAAUGCUCAUAUUAGUGAAAACUGAGAGCUGACAACCUAAAGAUGGGAUAGUAAACUUAACUUACUUAAAGCAGACCAAUGUGGACAUAUAGUUUCAGGGUAGAUAGUGUUCUACAUCUCAUUGGUCAUGGAGGCAUCACUGUGUUACUCUUUGUCAUCAAGAAUAGAUUAAAAUAGGCUGGGCACCUAUAGACGUGGCUCACGCCUGUAAUCCAAGCACUUUGGGAGGCUGAGGAGGGUGGAUUAUUUGAGAUCAGGAGCUCAAGACCAACAUGGCCAACAUGGCCAACAUGAUGAGACCCCCGUCUAUACUAAAAAUACAAAAAGUAGCCAGGUAUGGCAGCACGCACCUGUGAUCCCAGCUACUCGGGAGGCUGAGGUAGGAGAAUCACUUGAACCCAGGAGGCAGAGUUUGCAGUGAGCUGAGAUUGUGCUACUCCACUCCAGGUUGGGCAUCAGAGCGAGACUCCGUCUCAAAAAAAAAAAAAAAAAGAAUCCAUUAUAAUAGCCUUUAUUUAGGGAAACAGGGAAUUAUGCGCCAGUUUUUGAGUCAUCAAACAUUAUUAACAUUCGUUAAAGUUUUGUUUUCAGUGUCAUUUAUGAGACAAUGCUACAAAUGUUUCAUGUACAAAUGCCACAUAACUGAAAGUGACUGCAUUAAGUAGCCUGGACAAAUUUAUUCCCAACACACAAGUGAUGGAAACCAAUACUCACAGUGGAAGGGCUCCUAGAGACCAAUUUAUUCAAAUAUUCUCCUAUCAUAGGAAGAAAACAUGAGGACUGGAGACGGAAAAAGACUUGCCAUGCACACAAGUUACAUGAAAGAUUAAACCAAGGCUGUUCUCCGAUCCCCUCUCCUCUAGCUCAAAUCACAUCCAGGGGCUCAACUUCUCACAAAACUAUGUGAAUUUAUACAAUCAAAUUGGAUUCCCCAAGAUACUUGUGCUGGCUAAACCUUCAUGGGACAAAGAAGCCUCAUAUGCUUAUUUCCUCAUCUGUAAU
rnacentral:lncRNA from 1 species